AACCCAUGUUGAGGACAUUUCCGCAGGAGCUCCUUGAACCUAUCGCAUGUCUCAGAAAGAAAUUACAAUUCCAUUUGCACGAAAGAAGAUAUCUCAUUCCUAAGCUU